rnacentral:lncRNA from 1 species
CCGAACUUGGCGCGAAGUUGGGGGCUCCCGGGUUCCGGACCCAGGGCGCUGCCACGGGGCCCUGCGUCCGCGCGGGGAGGGCCGGGCGCGCGGGGCGGGCGGCGGGGGCGGCGGGGGCGGCCCGCACUGCUGGGAGCCGAGCCCUGCGAGCCCUGCGAGCCCUGCGAGCCCUGCGCGCGAGCCCAACCUCUCGCCAGCCGCGCGGGGCCGGCCACUGAGCAUGCCCAGUGAGCGAGCCGGGCUCGCUGCGGAAUGAUUAAACUUCCCCCGGGUUCAUUAGGCUCCCAGAAGGAAGUCGGGACGCGAGCCGGAGUCGUUGACGUCGGCGCUCUGCAAGCCCGUGACCUCGGGGAGGAGGAGGCGAGGGCCCGCGGGGUGGGGGUGGGGGCGGGGGCGGGGGCGGUGGACGGGGCUCCCCGAACCUGCCUCCGAGCGGGGCAGCUCUCCGAGGUCAGCCUUGGACGCCUUUGACCCGUGUCACUGCGGAGGGGACAGCCGCCACCGCGGCUCAGCCCGGGAACCCUGCGGGCCAGGCUACGUGGAGCCAGUGCAGGAUCUUCAAGCAUCAAUUACUCGGACUCCAAAGCACGUGAACCGCAGAUUUCCGGGAUGGUGUGUCUGCAGAGCUGUGUUCAGAGAAGCUGGUGAUGGAUGGGUCCAUUUGGACUCCCGGAAAGGGCCAGACGGUAUGUUUGAAAUCCUUGUUAUAGUCAUUGUCCUACACUUGCCAUCGAAACUUUUUUAUGUUUUUUCCACUAACGUAGCAGAAUUAUUAUGAUGACACUAAAUUGCCUGUGCAUUUUACUCUCCUGUAUGUUAGAGGUUAAUUGGACACCCAGGUAGUCAGGCCCAGGGUCCCCAGCAAGAAAGCAAAAAAGCCCAGAUAGCCAAGACCAAAUCGCACUAGCAUCCUGUUUUACAGCUUAGACAAGACCACAAUAGCAUCCUGUCUAGCCGCCUCUGCAAAAGUGACUUUUACAAAACAUCCUAAAACAGAACAAUUAACUGUAAAACAGUUGUCAGUAUCACAAGUUGAGGCGGGUGGUCUCCAGAUGUGAGCGCAAGAGACCAGCAACAUAGGAACAAUAACCCAACAGGUAGACAGGUGCAUGAUCAAAGCCCCGAUUGUCACACGUUAGCCACCAGUCCACAGAGACCCACACUGAGGAUGCUCAAAAUAGUUCCUGGAAAGAGCUUAUAAAAACCCGUAAAUGUGAACACCAAAAGGGCAACCCUCUCGGGUCCCCAACCUCCCUGGGUCCUUUGUACUAUUAUUGUUCAAUAAACUUUACCUUGCUGCCCACUGCUCUUCGUUUGGUCUACUUCUUCAUUCUUCGAAGCGGCAUGACUAAGAACUGUUGGCAUUAAGGGAAUAAAAAUCCUGAAGCACAUAUUCUUGUUUAUUGAGUUUCCGUAUGAAAAAAAGAAAACAUUGAGACCAAUCAUAAGUGAGAAAACAACCAUGAAUAUGCAUCAUUAGACAUGUGGAAGUUACUUUUAAGAAAAUAUCCAGUAUCCUAAAGAAUAGAGAGAAUUUUCUUUCUUUUAAAUAGGCUCCACACUUAGUGCUUGAACUCACAACCCUGAGAUCAAGGCCGGAACUGAGAUCAAGAGUGGGAUGCUUAGCUGACUGAGCCACCCAGGUGUCCAGAGAGAAUUGUGUUUAAUAUAAAGAGAAAACAAUAUAGGAUGGGCAGAGGGAGAUAGGAGAAUAAAGAAGAAGAAAAAAAAUGAGGGAAAAAAAAUAUCUUUUUCUCUCAGUGAACUCUCCCCCAAAGCUCAUAGGACUUAACUAAAUUAGAAAUUCCAGAGGCGUUUUAGUGACAUGAUCAGUUACCACAAUUUUCAUUUAAUAAAUGUGUACAUAGUGAUUUUUAUGUGCUAGGCACAGUUCUAAAUGCUUUACAUUCAGUCAUGUAAUCCUCAUUACCACUCUAGCAACUAUUACCACUCUUUUACUCAGACACAGGAUGAUUAAAUAAUUAAUCCAAAAUCACACGUAGGAUGUAAGUGGCAGAGCUGGGGUUCAAACCCAAGCAUUUAAAAUCUGGGCUCUUGGCCGUUUUAUAAACCACCUCCAGAGACAUUUCUGAAUCUGUUAAAAAAAAAAAAAAUCACCCCCCCCCCCCAAUUCUAAGCUCUCAAAGUCUCAUCAACUUUCUGCCAGUUUUCUCACCAAAUGGCCUAGUUUUUAUGGCCUGACUUUGCUCAAAGUUAAUUAGUAGUUAGAAAACUCUUGUGGUUGAUUUUGUAACAGGUUUCCAUGAGUCAUUUGAAAUUCUUUGUACAUUUUAGAGUUUACACUUUUGUUGCUUGAUAAAUGUUGCAGAGACAUUGCUGGCCUUAUAUGGAAAAUAACUAUUGCUGGAAGGAAAAUGAAUUAUUUACUUAGGUUACCCGUGAGUCUAUCAUCAGUAAAUUCUAUUCUUUCAUUCAAUCUAUUUUAUUUCCUGUAGCUUCUCUCAUGCAAUUUUUUUUUCCAACCGAGUAUUAUACGCUUCAAACGUAAUCAAGGUCAUAGGCCUAUGUAAGAUCCACAUCCUUGACCCUAAAAAGUUGUCAUCUAUCAUGAAUAGUUACUGAAAUAAAAUGUGCCUAAUAAUAUGUGGCCAGGUUAUUGAAUUUGCAAAGCUUUUCCAAGUUGGCAGUGGUAGACCAAGUAUUUUCUCCUUUAUUGGCCUUCUGAUUCAUAACAACCUUCACCUAGGCAUAGGAUGCCCUUUCUCUGCCCAUCCCUUAAAUAUUGUGCGUCUCUGGCUUUGAUCCUGUCCCUUUUCUUCUCAUCUUUCCUUUUAGAACUUAUUAAGUUUUAUAACUUUACUGUCUAUUCCAACCAGGGCCAGUUUCAUGAGCAUUUGAACAGUUGAUUUACAGAGGGCCCUGCACUGAGAAGGACUUAAUGCCUGGGAGUCUUAAUGUUCUGUAGUUGCAGUCUUGAAAUUCUUUUUUUUGUUUGUUUGUUUAAGAUUUUAUUUAUUAAUUUUAGAUGGAGAGAAUGAUUUGAGGGGAGAGGCAGAAGGAGAGGGAGAAGCAGACUCCCUUAUAAGCAGGGAACCUGACCCAGGGCUCUAACCAAGGACCCGGGAUCAUGACCUGAGUUGAAGACAUAUGGUUAACCAACUGAGCCACCCAGGUGCCUUUACAGGUUUGAAAUUCAUUCUCUUUCUUUCUUUCUUUCUUUCUUUCUUUCUUUCUUUCUUUCUUUCUUUCUUUCUUUCUCUCUCUCUCUCCCUUUUUAAAGAUUUAUUUAUUUAUUUAUUUAUUUAUUUAUUUAUUUAUUUAUGAGAGACACACACACACACAGAGAGAGAGAGAGAGAGAGAGAGGCAGAGACACAGACAGAGGGAGAAGCAGGCUCCAUGCAGGGAGCCUGAUGUGGGACUCGAUACUGGGACUCCAGGAUCAUGCCCUGGGCCGAAGGCAGGCACUAAACCUCUGAGCCACCCAGGGAUCCCCCAGGCUUAAAAUUCUUAAUAAUAUUAUCUUUGAUUUUUUCUUUUUUUCUUUUUUUCUUUUUUUUUUUUAUACAUGGAGUUCAAUGAGACAAUGAAGUGUGCUUGGUUUUCAUACAGUCCUGCCUCCCACUGCCUCUGCCUCCCUGGGAUAGUUUCUCAGCCUUGCCCACGUUCCUUUUUCCCCUACCCAGAACUACUAGGACCAAGAAAUCCUAGGCAUAGAGAAGGUCAGGUCAUGUUCAUGCAUCUGUGGUGUUGUGGGGUAUGGCAUGAUGGCACC